AUUGAACGCUGGCGGCAUGCCUUACACAUGCAAGUCGAACGGCAGCACGGGUGCUUGCACCUGGUGGCGAGUGGCGAACGGGUGAGUAAUACAUCGGAACAUGUCCUGUAGUGGGGGAUAGCCCGGCGAAAGCCGGAUUAAUACCGCAUACGAUCUACGGAUGAAAGCGGGGGACCUUCGGGCCUCGCGCUAUAGGGUUGGCCGAUGGCUGAUUAGCUAGUUGGUGGGGUAAAGGCCUACCAAGGCGACGAUCAGUAGCUGGUCUGAGAGGACGACCAGCCACACUGGGACUGAGACACGGCCCAGACUCCUACGGGAGGCAGCAGUGGGGAAUUUUGGACAAUGAGCGAAAGCCUGAUCCAGCAAUGCCGCGUGUGUGAAGAAGGCCUUCGGGUUGUAAAGCACUUUUGUCCGGAAAGAAAUCCUUGGCUCUAAUACAGUCGGGGGAUGACGGUACCGGAAGAAUAAGCACCGGCUAACUACGUG
rnacentral:rRNA from 1 species